ensembl:lncRNA
GCAUGUGGAACCUGCGAGAAACAAUAACAGACGCACUGCAAAUAUUUACAUGCGAUUUCAAAGCCAUUACACACGUGAUUAUGUCUUCUGUUUGCCGAGCGUCGACGGCCUUUUAUUCGGGGAGGGAGUGAUUUGAAUGGAAGGUGCUCCUGUCGGUUUGCAGGGUAAACAGAGCGAGCGGUAAAUAAAGAUGCCAGCUGUUGGGCAGCAGAAGGGACGCAGGGAGUGGGGGAGGGGGAGGGGGGGGGGGCAGAUGCUGGGGCAUUAGCGUGUGUCAGGGCUCACUGGAUUUCUGCAUCAUCACAAUAACGUGUUCAAAGAAACUACACCAGGUCCAUAAACAUUAAGAGACGAAGCAGAAGGACAGAGUAUUUCACACACACACACACACACACACACACACACACUUUCAUUCAUUGUCUUUGUUUCUUUCAUUCACUCUUAUAAUUAUUGUCUCUUUCUUUGUUUUCUUUUUCGUGUCAAGCUUCGUUCUUUCUGCAUUUAUUUCCCCAUUAUUCUUUCUUUUUCUUUCCUCCUUACUCCGGUUCUUUCUCUUCUCUCUUUUCCUUCCGUUUAUUUCCUCAUUUAUUCCACGGUCAGUAUUCCCUUUCUCCAUCUUUCCUUCUUUUCCGCCGUGCCAAGCCGCGCUUCCUUUUUCUCUCGAGAUUGACCUCUUUCUAUCGCUCUUUCUUAAUAUAUUCUCUCUCUCCUUCUUUCGCUCAGGCUCUCUUUCAUUACUUCACCGUGUCUUUUUUCCUUUCCUUCAUCGACUUUGUGUCUUUCGUUCGUCCGCUCCCGUUCUUAUUUCCCCUCCGUCCCGGUCAGGUUCUCCGCCGCUUCCUGAUCGAUGUCCUUUCCCAGCGCCACACGUCCGAUGACGCGAAGGGGCCGAGACGUGACGAUGGCUGAACAUCUGGAAAAAAAAAAACACAGCAGCUUUGGCAGAGCAGCGAAAAGACGUGAUCUCGGCGUCGACCUUUCCCUCAGACUCGCCGAUGAACUCCGCGUCACGUGCGUGAUCUAUAUCCGGAGCUCCUGCGAUAUUCCCGUUCCCAGCUGCGUCCGGCGUGCUUCUCCGAUAACGAGAUGGACCCUGGUGGCGCGGUGAAAGCCGGAGGAGGUGUUUACUGGGGCGCUGUGUGAGGAGACGGAGGACAGACGACUGCGGCGGGGAGCGAGGAAAGGGCACGUGGCGUCUGCUCUAGUGAAGGAGCACCUCGCUCCACAGUAAAUCAUCCCAUUCCCAGCAGAUCGCGCCGCUCCCAGCACGCUUCCUCGCGGUAAUGAAGCGCGAGAACUUACUCGCCCUGCAGGUGAGAACGUCACGAGCAGGUGUGAGACGGGCUCGUCUUUCACAGGAAGGGCUGGAAAUCGACCCCGGCUCGCGUCCACGUUCCGGCACUUUCAGGUGGAGGAUAAUUGACUCACGUCUCGGUUUAACGUCUCCACGCGUUACAGCGGGUCUGUUACGCCGCUACGGCGUAUCUGUUCGUUUCCUGACAGUAUCGGGACGGUUUCUAUAGUAACAGCUCGACACAAAAAGACGAAGGGAUUUACGUGUUAUUCUGUAAGGAGUAAACAGACUGCCGUGGUGUAAGAGGAAUAAAACGCGUCCGCACCGCUGGCCGUGUGCGUUUAGACCUCGCUGCUCCGUGAAGGUUCGGCGUGCCCGGACUCGUCCUCCGACCGCCUGCCGAGCUACUUCCUGUUUCCCGGGGCCGUGCUUUUUCUCCCCGUGCCUCCCCGCGGUUACGCGAGCGGAGACGUCCGAGACGGUGUUCUCUCCGGGUUGAGGACGUUGAGGAGAAUUUGCACGUCAUCUCUACGUGAAGAUUAAAAAUAAAACAUUCACAUGGUGCGCUGCUCUGCUGCGGCCGUGCUGCGGGGGGCGCCGCUGAGGACGGGUUCAGACUGGUGCGGUGUGUUAUUACAGCACAUGGAAUGUUCACGUCUUCCCUCUGUUUACACACCACCACCACGACAGGCACACCGUUUCACCCUGCAGCGUGUGUGUGUGUGUGUGUGUGUGUGUGUGUGUGUGUGUGUGUGUGUGUGUGUGGGUGUCUAAUGAUUAAAAACACUGACCUUAACUGGACGUCUAAUGGAAGUAUGAUGUAUUAUUUGAUUAAAACUUUUCUCGUUGUUAUUACUAAGCAGGAAACUGUGUUUUGACGAUUACGGGCUGUUAAGUGCGCGCGUGUGUGUGUGUGUGUGUGUGUGUGUUAUGACUUAGACAAAGAUCAGAUUUUUGGAGCUGAGGACACUGCGUAGAGAAAUCCAACUCAUUCCAACAGAAGGAAAAUCAAUCUCUCUCUCUCUCUCUCUUUCAGACUCUCUCCCUUUCUUAACCCUCGUUUUCUCUCCCCCUCUCUCUCGUUUCCUUUUUUCUUUCUUUCCCUAGACGUGUUCUGUUUCUUUCAGUCUCGAUCUCUCUCCUUUCUUUCGGAGGACUUGUUUCAGUGCAGUAAUAAUGAUGAUGUGUGUGAGACGCGGGGAUUAUCUCUAUCGGGGUGUGAUGUAUACAUGUUGUGGUUGGAAACACAGCUGGAAGUUCUGCUAACGUAUAACAAGUGAUAAGUCAUUGAGACAGACUGGGCUCGUGCACACACACACACACACACACACACACACACACACACACGGUCUAGAGCUGUAAAAUCUCCUGUUAUCCUUUUUUAAGCACAUUCUUCUAAAGGUCUGUGUUUCCGUUCUUUGUUCAUUCUUUUCUCGGUGUCUUUGCUGUUAACUCUGACACUGCUACAGAUCUUCCCGGGCCCGAGCGAGAGGCUCUCAGAUCUUCCCGGGCCCGAGCGAGAGGCUCUCAGAUCUUCCCGGGCCCGAGCGAGAGGUUCUCAGAUCUUCCCGGGCCCGAGCGAGAGGUUCUCAGGUCUUCCCGGGCCCGAGCGAGAGGUUCUCAGGUCUUCCCGGGCCCGAGCGAGAGGUUCUCAGGUCUUCCCGGGGCUAAGGGAGAGUUUCUCAGCGAGUGCCAGACCCGAGUGAGAGGUCUACACCCUGCACAUGUAUGGUGGACUCACUGAAAGGGUUUGAGGUCUCGUUUAGUGCAGCCCGUAUUUGCAUGUCAUUUGCAUAUAACCCCUGCAGGCUGUGUGGAAUGCCAAGAGGCUAAACUCUCUGUUUAUUACCCCAGUCUUAACUAGUUUUCAGUUUGCACUCGUUUGCAUCUCAUUUGCAUAAACUGGUCUUCUCUGGGACUCGGGGUUCCGUGACCUAAAUUAUUUUCAUUCCUCAUACCUGAGGAAGAAACCCUGGGAUUAGUAUUAAUUACAUCAGGACACUUAAAACACGGCCAGAACGGUACACUCUCCAACUGUGUGUGUGAGAGAGAGAGAGAGAGAGAGAGAGAGAGAGAGAGAGAGAGUGACAGAGAGAGACACAGAGAGAGAGAGACAGAGAGAGACACAGAGAGAGAGAGAGAGAGAGAGAGAGAGACACAGAGAG